AUGGCCUGGGUUCCACUCCUCUUCCUGCUGCUUGCUCACUGCACAGGUUCCCUCUCUCAGCCUGUGCUCACUCAGCCGCCCUCCCUCUCUGCACCACUGGAUGGCACUGCCAGACUCAGCUGCACCCUCAGCAGUGGAUACAGUGUAGGAAGUUAUGGUGUAGCUUGGUUCCAGCAGAGGCCAGGGAGUCCUCCUAAGUAUCUCCUGACCUACAACCCGUACAAAGAUAAACAGGAGGGCUCCAGGAUCCCCAGCCGCUUUUCUGGAUCCAAAGACGACACAGCCAACGCAGGAAUCCUGAGCAUCUCUGGGCUGCAGCCUGAGGAUGAGGCUGACUAUUACUGCGCUACAGCUUAUGCCAGUGAGGACAGUAUUGGUUUGACACAGCGCUUCAGAUGA